rnacentral:lncRNA from 1 species
GUUGGCAAUAAGGAUGGGUGGGAGAGAAAAAAAAAACAGAAUUUGAGGAGGAGAGCAUUUAAACCAUCAGGCUGUGUGUUCUGUGACAUCAAAGACUGGCAACAUUCUAAAGGAAAAGCAGCUGUGAAGUCAUAAUUAUGUUCACUUCCCACUGGCAACUGGCAAGCCCUUUAUUUUUGUGCAUUUGGAACUCACCAAGAAUAAAUAAAGUCAAUUCCCUCCUUGAGGGGCUAUUCUGCCAUUCCAUCUAGGAUUUAAAAGUUUGCCAAUUCCUAAAACAUCUAUUGUUAUAAAUAGUCUUGUGUCUUUCACAAAGCGGACUUUACAAAAUAAGGAUAGGCGGAGUGACCCAGCAAUCAUAUGGACACCAUCCAUUCCAGUGACACUCAGACUUCAGCGUGCAUCAGAAUCCCUGCAAGGCUUGCUAAGACACAGACUGCUGCGCCUACCUCAGAGUUCCUGAUUCAUCAAGCUGGAAGUAAGGCCUGAGAUUUUUGCAUUACUAACAAGUCUUCAGGUGAUACCAAUGCUGCUGAUCUGGAGACUGCCUUUGAGAGCCA